GUUGGCAAAUGAUGUUAAAAUUUCUUAUCCUACACACUGAAUUUAUACAGUGAAGAUUAAAAACUCCGCUUAUUAUCUGAUGCCUUC
rfam:Glycine max cultivar Williams 82 chromosome 14, whole genome shotgun sequence.